rnacentral:rRNA from 1 species
GCCAGACUCCUACGGGAGGCAGCAGUGGGGAAUAUUGCACAAUGGGGGAAACCCUGAUGCAGCGACGCCGCGUGUGGGAAGACGGUCCUCUGGAUUGUAAACCACUGUCCCCAGGGACGAAGAUGACGGUACCUGGGGAGGAAGCUCCGGCUAACUACGUGCCAGCAGCCGCGGUAAUACGUAGGGGGCAAGCGUUAUCCGGAUUUACUGGGUGUAAAGGGAGCGUAGACGGCGAUGCAAGCCAGAUGUGAAAGCCCGGGGCUCAACCCCGGGACUGCAUUUGGAACUGUGUGGCUGGAGUGUCGGAGAGGCAGGCGGAAUUCCUAGUGUAGCGGUGAAAUGCGUAGAUAUCAGGAGGAACACCGGUGGCGAAGGCGGCCUGCUGGACUGCAACUGACGUUGAGGCCCGAAAGCGUGGGGAGCAAACAGGAUUAGAUACCCUCGUA